GGGCGAUUAGCUCAGUGGUAGAGCGCCGUCUUCACACGGCGGGGGUCGCUGGUUCGAGUCCAGCAUCGCCCACCA
rnacentral:tRNA from 1 species